GAUGAAGAACGUAGCGAAAUGCGAUAAGUAAUGUGAAUUGCAGAAUUCAGUGAAUCAUCGAAUCUUUGAACGCACAUUGCGCCCGCCAGUAUUCUGGCGGGCAUGCCUGUCUGAGCGUCAUUUCAACCCUCAUGCCCCUAGGGCGUGUGUUGGGGAUCGGCCAAAGCCCGCGAGGGACGGCCGGCCCCUAAAUCUAGUGGCGGACCCGUCGUGGCCUCCUCUGCGAAGUAGUGAUAUUCCGCAUCGGAGAGCGAUGAGCCCCUGCCGUUAAACCCCCAACUUUCCAAGGUUGACCUCAGAUCAGGUAGGAAUACCCGCUGAACUUAAGCAUAUCAAUAAGCGGAGGA
rnacentral:misc_RNA from 1 species